GUUUCAGCAGCCGCGGUAAUACGUAGGUGGCGAGCGUUGUCCGGAUUUACUGGGCGUAAAGCGCGCGUAGGUGGCUUGGCAAGUCCUGUCGUGAAAGGUUGCGGCCCAACUGCAACACUGCGGAGGAUACUGCCAGGCUUGAGGGCAGCAGAGGUCGGUGGAAUUCCCGGUGGAGUGGUGAAAUGCGUAGAUAUCGGGAGGAACACCAGAGGCGAAGGCGGCCGACUGGGCUGUACCUGACGCUGAGGCGCGAAAGCGUGGGGAGCGAACCGGAUUAGAAACCCGGGUAGUCC
rnacentral:rRNA from 1 species